rnacentral:rRNA from 1 species
UACGUAGGGGGCAAGCGUUGUCCGGAUUUAUUGGGCGUAAAGAGCGUGUAGGCGGCCAGACAGGUCCGUUGUGAAAACUCGAGGCUCAACCUCGAGACGCCGAUGGAAACCGUCUGGCUAGAGUCCGGAAGAGGAGAGUGGAAUUCCCGGUGUAGCGGUGAAAUGCGCAGAUAUCGGGAAGAACACCCGUGGCUAAGGCGGCUCUCUAGUAAGGUACUGACGCUGAGACGCGAAAGCGUGGGGAGCGAACAGG